GCGCCCGCCGAGCCCAGGCCAUUUUGAAAGGUAAGAGUGGCGAUCGUCGCCUGACCGCCGCGCCAAGCUUGUGGGUUUCUUUAAAAAAAUGCCCUUUUUUCUCCCUUUUUUCUUCACUCUUUCAAUUCCUAUCUCUCUCAACCUCUAAACCCCACGAAAAUUUCAUUUUUUCUUUCUCAAAUUACUCCCAACUCACUUCAAAUCCACCAAAUUCCUUCCACACAUCUCCUACCCACAUCAUAACCUUCCAUUCCAUCCGUUUAAUUUAAGUGUUCAUCUACUUUUUCAUCUACAUUCAAAUUUGGGGGUUUUGUGUAGGGUUUUUGAUUCUUCACUCUUUAUUGCGAAAGAUUCAAGGUAACUCACUUCUAUCAUUUGCUUUUAUUGUUAUUCUUGCUAGUUUUGCUAAGAUUUUGGCUAUUGUUAUAGCUUAGCUUGGUGAUUUAGCUUGAUUCUAUGAUAUUGGAGUAGUUAGUGUAGUGUAUUAUUUUGUGAAGUUUUGUUGUGGAUUGAAACAUGCUAGGCACUAGUUGAGUUCCUUAUUCAUAUUUCUUAUAUAUGCUUUAUUUUGGUGCUAGCCUAUGAAUUGUUGUGGAAUUUUGUUGGAAUUGCUUGAAUGAAUGAUGGGAAUAGGCAUUAUUCAUGGUGGUUCUUGUUUUUAUUUGUUUGAUGAUUUAUAUGAGUAGUGUUAUCUUGGGAGUUUUUGAUUAUGCUCAGAGGAGUACCAUAUUGCAUUUUGUGGGGAGACUUUGCCUGUUAUUGAGGGGAUUAAGAGUUGAAUUUUGGAUUAGGGGGAUGAGUUUGAAUGAUGAUUUUGCUAAGUUAGGGAUUUCAUUUGUUUAUUUUUGUUGGUUUGAUUGGUUUUGGUGGUGCAUUGGAAUUAAUUGAAAAAAAUUUGUAGGAACAAUGCCACUAAAGAAACGAAAGGGGAGCAUUGGAGGAGCCUCGGGAUCAAGAAGUGCUCCAUUGACACCCGAUCAGCCGGAGUAUCACGGCGUGGUACUCAUGUUGGAGUUAGAUCGACCAAAGUUCUCGGCACUGUGGCACCGGAAGAUAGAGCCCACACAUUAUGUUGAUCCGGUAGUGCUUCAAGAGAUAGGGGUGUAUGGAGACGUCCAACAGUUAUUUGUUAACAUCGGGUGGAACCGCAUUUUAGUAGGAGGAUGGCCCACAUAAGAGAGGGCUACCCUCGAGAUGAUGAGCACGUUUGAUGAGAGAUUGGUGUCGAUGACAUACCCCGACUCUAUGGCCUUCCAGCUUAACAACAAUUGGGAGCAUGAUGUGGAUAUGAGUGCCAUUAACAACAUCUUUGAGUGCCCAACUGACUGCACUUUUACACAUAUCAGUGGAUUUAGACCAGUGGAGUUGUGGCAGGAUUUGGUGCACCCCGAGGUUGGUGACUACCCAUCGGGCACCUCAAAGGCAGCAUCAGAAACCCGAUCUUUCGGGCAGUCCAACACAUCAUCGCACAUACCAUUCUCGCCCACAAGGAGAACAGUAAUGUGAGCCAAUUGGAUCUUUAUAUUAUCUAUGCCAUGCUCACAAGAACCCACAUCAGCUUCGCCGACAUCUUGGUCCAGUAGUUGUAUAAGGUCGCCAAAGCCAACAAGGGCAUUAUUACAAUAAGAGGGAUGUUCACCCCCAUUGCCCUACAUUUCUGUCCCGAGGUGGAGGGAUGGUCGAUUGUGCGGGGUGACACGUUAUUACAUGCUUGACGGAUGCACGAUAUGCGGGUGAUAUCCCGAGCUCAUCCGCCUUUCCAGUUUGUUCAGAGGGACGGGGAUCACUUUCCCUUGCCCAACACUGCGCUCACCACGAUCAAUGGUCGUUAUGAUAUGGCCAACUGUAAGAUGGACACUCCUGCUCAUCAUGCACUUUCAGGACCAGGAAGAGGCGAGCACAGGGUGCAAGCACAGGGCGAGGCAGAGGUAGACGAGGAGGAAGAGGCUGCAUCCCCCCCUCAUGGACAUAAAGGUGCUGCUACCGGCGAAUGAGGACACUAUGACAUGGCUGAGUUAACUAAUAUGAUGGGUAGAUUGGAUGCCCAGUUCACCGUCUUUCGUGGCGACGUAAUGGCUAUUAGGAUGGCGCAACAAGAGGCCGACCGACGCCAGACAGAGUUCAAUGCUUAUACACGUGAGCAGUUUGGCCGCCAACAGCAAUUUGAGGAGUAUGAGCGAGCUGAGCUAGAGCGUCAGAUGACUAUGCAGGAGGAGCUUUUGCGCGAUUUUCGACGGUUUCGUGAUCCACCGACCUCCUGAUUGCGUUUCU
rnacentral:lncRNA from 1 species